AGGGCAUUCGUGAGUUUGGGACCGAUCUGUCAAUGAUACAACAACUAUUUCCUGAUAGGACACGUGAGCAGAUCAAACUGAAAUACAAGUUGGAAGAACGACGACAUCCAAUGAAGCUUAAUGAUGCUAUUGCUACUCGUGCAAAACAUCACCAUCAUUAUCACGACGUGAUUAAGAAGCUUCAAGAAGCGGCUACUCAAGCAGCCCGGGAAGCCAAUGAA